UACGAAGGUGGCAAGCGUUGUUCGGAUUUACUGGGCGUACAGGGAGCGUAGGCGGUUGGAUAAGCCCUCCGUGAAAUCUCCAGGCUUAACCUGGAAAGUGCAGAGGGGACUGUUCAGCUAGAGGAUGGGAGAGGAGCGCGGAAUUCCCGGUGUAGCGGUGAAAAUGCGUAGAGAUCGGGAGGAAGGCCGGUGGCGAAGACGGCGCUCUGGAACAUUCUGACGCUGAGGCUCGAAAGCGUGGGGAGCAAACAGG
rnacentral:rRNA from 1 species